GCCCGGGUAGCUCAGCCUGGAUAGAGCGCCGGGCUGUGGAAGCCCGUGAUGAAGGGCUUGCUGAAACCCGGAGGUCCCGGGUUCAAAUCCCGGCCCGGGCC
rnacentral:tRNA from 1 species